AUCUUUCAGAUUUUCCUGACAUCAGUGCAUCCUUUUGAGUGCGUUAGCAUAUCUCUUAAGAUUUCCGUUUCGGUCUUGACCUGGGGCUUUCUUUUUCAAUGUCACUUUGAAAAAAAAAAAUCUUGAGAUAAUUCUUGGCUUUGUCAAGGAUACCAGUAACAAAAGCAUCAGCAAGUGGGUCUUGCUCUGCUGAUCAGUUUGGAGUUCAGCGGCAUGUUCACGUCUGACUGCAGCCUCACCCUCCCAGGCUCAAGUGCUCCAGUCACCUCAGCCUCCUGAGCAGCUAGAACCACAGGCUGUACAAGACGCACAGUGGCACCUGAGGAGCCCUCGGGAGACUUAAAUCAUGGCAAAAGGUAAAGGGGAAGCAGGCACUUACUACGUGGCU
rnacentral:lncRNA from 13 species